UAGCUCCCGGGAUGAGACACCGUGCGAAAGCUAGCCUACGAAUACAGCAACAAAGUAGUGAGUACAUAUUCCGAACAUUCCUUUCUUACGAAGCGUCACGUUAAAAAAAAACUAAUUUGCUAUGGAAAAUGCACUGAAACCUCCAGGAUAAAUAGACUUUGAUGAUGGUAAUUUAGCACUUUCCUGGAAAAGAUGGAAAGAGGAUUUCAACCUGUAUAUGGAUCAGACAAUGGGAGAUAAGUCUGAUGAUGAGUGAAACUGUUGUAUUACCUCAUUGGUGAAAAAGGCAGGGAGAUAUGUGAGACACUGGGUGUCGGGAGUUCAGCAAAUUAUCUUUUUGUAGACAAAGUAAUAACAACACUGGAUGGAUUUUGCGAUCCAAAGAAAAAUGAAACAAUAGAGAGAUACAAUUUUUUCACACGUAGUCAGAGCCAAGAUGAGAGUUUGGAUAAAUAUCUCACUGAAUUGAGGACUCUGGCAGCAACAUGCAACUUUGGUGUAAUCACAGACUCUCUUAUCAGGGAUAGGACUGUGUGUGACACUUGGGACUCACACUUAAGGGAGCGCCUACUGAGAGAGACUGAUCUCAAGCUGUCGAGACAGAGAGUGAAAGUCAUAGAAGUACAGAGCUCUGCAACAAUACAUACAGUGACACGGAAAGAGAAACAUAGAGGGAGAGGACACCCUCCCGAGGAACUGAGUAUUUUACGAUGCAGACACUGUGGACGACAACAUGAGAGAAAAAAGUAAAAAUGCCCUGCAUUUGGACAAAAAUGCAAAGCGUGUGAAAAAAACAAUCACUUCCCUACUGUUUGCGAAAGUGCAGGAGCAAGCAGAAAAAACGCAGUCCUCGCAGUGGAAAAUGCAGAAGCUGAAUCAGAGAGAGGCGAUGAAGUGCUAUGCAUCGCGUGAGGCCCAACGUCCGAGAGCAACGACCCCAGCUCUAGCGCAGCUGUUCACGCAGUCAUGCGGGUGAACAAGAAAUCUGUCAGAUCUCAGUUAGAUUGUGGUGCCACUAGCAGUGUGACUGCUGCAAACAUCACAAAAGGCAUACAGCUAGCUACAGCCCUGCAGUCGGGUAUUACUGAUGUAUAAAAGACUACUCUGACGCCACUUGGUAAGUGCACACUCCAAGUGACAAAUCCACGCAACAGAAAAAGGUACAAAUUUGAGUUUAUUGUAGUCAAGAAGAACGCGUACAGACGCAUUCUAGGUUGCAAGGCCAGCCAGGAAAUGGAAUUGAUUACAGUGCAGCACCACAAUAUCCUGGCUAUCGAUGAGACAAGAUCCUGGACAGAAGAGCAGAUAAAACAGGACUAUGCAGACGUCUUCCAUGGAGAUGGACUUUUUUCUGGCAAACUGAAGCUGGAAGUAGAUGAGCGUGUGGAGCCAGUGAAGCUACCAAAGAGAAGGGUUCCAGAGGCCCUCUACAACCCACUCAAACAGGAGCUCACUAGCCUACAGAGUAGAGGAAUCAUAGUGCCUGUGGAAAAAAGCACAGACUGGGUCAGCAGCCUCAUCGUAGUGCGGAAACCAUCUGGGAAACUAUGAGUGUGUAUCGAUCCAAAACCUCUCAACAAGGAGCCACUAUCCACUACCCACAAUCGAAGAUGUACUACCAGACCUCAAUAGAGCACGACUGUUCUCUGUCUGCAAUAUCAAAAAUGGAUUCUGGCAUGUGGAACUGGUGGAAGAGUCCAGCUUUCUCACCACAUUCUCCACACCCAGGGGCCGCUGCCAAUGGGAAUCAGUCCAGCCCCAGAGAUCUUUCAGAGGAAGGACACAAUUUAAAAUAAUAAAAAAAAUACAAGAAAUAAACUUUUUUCCGGCACUUCUUGCACCUCCAAGAUGUUCUAACUAGCCGAAAUCAACGCAGAUGACACCAAUACGAACAUCGUGUGUGAUUGGUCAGAAAUUCAAGGUGGGCGUGAUUUAUUUUGUUUUAUUUCUGCAAGCUGAUUCCCCGUUGAUUACAAUAAUUACAUAUAUACAUAAUACAACAUAAUACAAUAAUACAACGUAGAGUAGAAAAAAAAACUUUUUUU